GAGAUGCUCACUUCACAAUCCUGCUGAUCAGAGCUGGGUAAAUGAGUACUUCUAUCAGGAGGGCUCAUGCCUUUGAAAAGGUUUAAAAAAGGCUUUUAUUUGAGAAUAAAAAACAGGCAGAUAGACGUCAGUCUGGGAACUUCAAAAAAGACAACCCUAUCUGUCCCUCUCUAAUUCAUUAUGCUGGAAAUGUUGAAAUGUUUUCCCCUAAGCCUUACCCAGCAGACUUAGUAUUUACAGGGCAUUAUAUGAAAUAACCUGUUAUGCCAUGGGGAAAACAUGAUGGAAGGGGAAAAAGAAGAUAACUGUAUAAUAUGAAUUUUAGGGAAAAAACUUUCUAUUUUCCUCAUAGGCAGAGAGUAGGUGUAGAUCAAACCUUCCAAAACGGAUCAGACUGGUCUCAAGGUUCGAGUAUACAUUUCUAGCUGAAGCAUGCACCCAGGCAAAAAAUAUCUUGACCGAUGGCUGUUUUGUGAAUAUGAAAAUGCUACAAAGCUGAACCUGACUUGCUCUUUGCCCUAUCACUCCUCCUCUCAGCGCACAUGGCUCUCCUUACUUUCAUUAUACAUGCUUCCAUCUUCCCUGUGGCACCUAUUAGCAACUUCCUUUGAAGAUACCAAUCAAAAAUUUGAAAUGCUAAAUUUUUCAGUACUGUUUGAAAAGGAAGGCUUUUAUGGAAGCUGAAGGAUGAGGGAGCUCACCAGUUGCUAAGUGGCCAUGUACUUCAGUAAGCAGGGGAGUACUUGGGAACCAAAUUUCUGAACUCCAGUAUCUAAAUCCUUCUUUGUCUUGGCCUUCGGGGUACAUAAAUACUUCAGAUGAUAAGAGGUCUUUCCUGGCUUGUGGGAACUUCGUGGGGAGGAAGGUACAAUUGCAAGGAAGGCCCGCAGGAUGACGAGACUUCACCCAGAAAUUGAAGGUCUGAACUUACACCUCUGCAGUCAGCUGGUGGUUUUGCCAUCCAUGUCAGUUGUGGCAUCUUAUGGAUUUAAACUUCUGAGGCAAACACAAAUUGCAGAGGAAGAAAGAAAACUGUUGCUGUAUGUUCACGUUGCCUAUGCCCUCCAGUUCUGAAGAGGGUCUGUCACUUCUUCGAGGCUGUUGGUUGUUUCUAUGAUAAUUUGUCCUGAUGUGCAGAGAGGAGGGGACCAGCACUGCUCCGGCAGCAAUAAGGAUCCUCUGUGCUUCUGUCAGUGCUGCCUCUCCCUAAUAAUGUAACACACAGACAGUAACCAUUACAGCAUUGGCACACAACUAUUAUGCAGUUGACAUCGGUGCUUAAGUGAGGUUGUGGUAGACUCAUUCCUUGGCAAUUAUAAGAGGCUCCUUCUGUACUGAGGAGCCCACAGCCUAAACAAAUGAAGCCAAGAGAGAUGAACGAACACUCAUAUCCUAACUUUGCAGGUAGAAAACAAGAAAAGAACUUGUCACUUGUUCAAGAUAACUCUUGAAGCUCAUGGAAGUGGCAGUAACCCAGGUCUCCUCAGUCUUUGACCAGCACUGUACUUUUAAGAUCUUUCUUCCUUAUUGACAAAAUCAUUUCAUAGUUUCCUUCAUUAACUUUCAGACUCAAAAAUUCCCAGUGAUGUUCCCAUGGAAAAAAAAGGCUGACUUUUUUCAGAUUUUUAUGUUUGAUGUUUCAAAAUAUUAGGCACUCUGUAGCCCAUAUUCACACCCUGCUCACGAUAAUACCAGGACAGACCAAAUGCAGGUCAACAAGUUAAACCACUGUAAAAUGUAUGAGAGUUGUAGAUCUGUCACUAGUGGUGUCCCCAAGGUUCAAUACUAGGUCCAAUAUUGUUUAACUUAUAUAUCAAUGACUUGGAUGAAGGGGCAGAACCUCCUCAGCAAGUUUGCUGAUAUCACAAAGCUGGAAGAGUGGCCAAUAUCCCACAGUACUGUGCUGCCCUUCAGAAGGAACUUGAUAGGUUUGAGAGAUGGGCAGAGAAGAACAGUCUGAAGUUCAACAAAGGCAAAUGCAGGACCUGAGGAAGAAUAACCCUGGGCACCAGUACAGGCUGGGGCCAACCUGCUGGAAAGCAGCUCUGCAGAGAAAGGCAUGGGGGUCCUGGUGGACAACAGGCUGUCCAUGAGCCAGCAGUGUGCCCGUGUGGCCAAGAAGGCCAAUGGGAUCCUGGGGUGUACAGGAAGAGCAUUGACAGCAGAUGCAGUGAGGUGAUUCUGCCCCUCUACUCAGCCCUAGUGAGGCCUCACCUGGAGUCUGUUCAGUUCUGGGCUGCUCAGCACAAGAGAGAUAUGAAGCUCCUGAAGCAGGUCCAUCAGGCAUUUAUGAAGAUGAUUAAGGGACUGAAGCACCUCCACUACAAGGAAAAGCUGAGAGAGUUGGGCCUGUUCAGCCUCAAGAACAGACAACUGAGAAGGAACUUAUCAAUGUCUACGAGUAUCUGGAGGGAGGGUGUCAAGAGAUGAAGCCAGGCUCUUGGUGAUGCCAAGCAAUAGGACAAGAGACAGUAGGCAGAAACUGGUACACAGGAAGUUCCACCUGAAUAUGAGGAAGAACUUUACUGGGGGGGGUGACUAUGCACUGGAACAGAUUGCCUGGAGAGGUUGUGGAGUCUCCCUCACUGGAGAUAUUCAAGGAUAGGAUGCAGUCCUGUGCCAUGUUCUCUGGGAUGACCCUACUUGAGCAAGGAGAUUGGACCAGAUGACCCACUGUGGUCCCUUCCAACCUUACUCAUUCUGUGUGAUUCUGUGAUUCUGUGAGAGUUCGUCUUUUGCUACUAGGCCAGAAUAACCUAACAAGUUAUCUUAGCACCAAUACACAGUUUUAAUUUUAUUUCAUCCACCAAUGCUAAUAAAAGAACACUCCAAGGCGAGAAUUUAAAAUGAUUAAUUACAAUACUUUAAAAGAUGAAAAAGAAUCUGUGUGUGUCAGUCAUCCUCACAGGGCAAGGAAUAAUGAAAAUGCAAUGCACAGAGGAAUGAGUUUUCUAUUGUCAAUGAUAAAAGUGAUAAUCGCCCCAAGUCAAAGCAAAAUGACAGAUGAAAGAAACCUAUAGAACAUUGCCUAGGGGAGCUCCCGAGGCCAGCACUCAGUACCACAUAUACACAUGCUAGACUGAUAUUUAAUGAAGCUCUGGUUGACUCUAUAAUGAAUGUUGAAGGCUCUCUGGAGCAUCAAACAUCAUUUAAGAAUGCUAGAAGCAAAUGCUUUAUUUUUGUUUGGUGGCGGUAGGGUGUGGGGGGAAGGGCAAGUUUUAAUACAGUUUUUCAGCUCUUUUAACAAAUAAAUUGAAUUUGGAGGAAGAGAAAAAUCCCUUUAUCAUGCAAAGAGAAUUACUGUUUUAUUGUAUUUGUAACAUUUUAUUACACAUAGAAUAGAAGAGGAAAUGCAGCAGGGAUAGCCUAAUGGGUAAAUGAGAAAAAUUAGACUGGUUUUGAAGUCUCUAUUAUUUAUUCCAGCAAGGGACCAGUCUGACCCUUGUGAUAUAAGGAGUAGCCAAUAGAUUUCUAAAUCAUGUCUGUAUGUUCUGUGCUCAAGCAGCUGAAGGUGAAAAAGGAAUUGAAUGGAUCCUCACCCAUGAUUUAAUAUGGAUGUGGUGACUGUACUGUAUAAAUGUAUCUUCUAAAGACCUUUGGGACGGUACAACAGUAAAUAAUGGUUCAAGUUAUAUAUUGGUAGUACUGCUGAAGCCCAAUAGCACUGACAGGCAACAUUUCUUAUCUGUUUUGAUCUUAAUCAAGUAAUCUAUGUGCCUUUUGUGUCUCUCCAGAGACAUUUUUUGAAGUUAACAUCACCACAUCAGCUUUUGUUCAAUUGUUGGCCGAAAUUAUGCCAGAUUUUCUUCUCCACUCUGCCAUUUUUUCCCAGUAUACUAAUUUUAUUGUUGCUAGAAUCAUUUUAAGCAGAAUAUGAUUUAAUCCUGCCUCAACCAGCAACUGGCAUUAUUUGCAUUCGUAAGGCUCAAAAUGUGUCAACCCCCUGGAGAUGUAAUACUAAAUUCUUAUCUCAGUUUUUUUGCUACCUUGCCAAGGCAUGCAGUGUGUUAAAGACACAAAUAAAAAUGAUUCUGGAAAAAAAAUAAGUCUUAUUGACCACUGGCAAGUAGCAGCCCACAUUUAUUGUAAUGGGAAAAGUUUAGUCUUCUUUGAGUGGAUGCCAGCUCUUGAGAGGCUGAAAUUUGGGCUUCCACCUACUUCAGCUAAUAAAUCCAUAGAAUCAUGGAAUCAACCAGGUUGGAAAAGACCUCUGAGUUCAUCAAGUCCAACCCUUGAUUCAACGCUGCUGUGGUUACUAGACCAUGGUGCUGAGUUCCACAUCCAGUCUCAUCUUAAAAACCUCCAGGGAUGGUGAAUCCACCACCUCCCUGGGCAGCCCAUUCCAAUGUCUGAUUACUCUAUAUUAUUCUACAAUAACUUUUUUUUUAGUACUUCAGUAGAAACUAUUUUUACCAUUCUUCUAAAAGAGGCAUAAAAGAGGCAUAAUUGCCUUCAGUGAUACCAGCAGGCCCACAUUGUUGGGUCUCAAAAUUCUUUACACUCAGGACAUCUUAAGUAUUCUACACCAUCCUGAAAACUCACUAGCAUUUCUAGGCAUUGAACCUGCUUGAAAAAUGAUGUAAAGCAUGUAGAAAAAAUUCAGAGUAGUUGCCACAACAUGGAUGGGUACGGUUGGCAUUACAGCAAAUUUAACCCCUCUGUAUAAUCACCAGACAGUAGAAUUUCUAUUUUAAACAUAAAAAGUGUGGGACCCUUUCACUCCCAUUGUAAGACCCGAUAGUUCACCAAAUAACAGUCUUUACCACAGCAAUAGCUGGGAACCACAUCACUAUGGAAACAUUAAUGAAUUUAAUUGUGGGUAAAUUAGGGCGGAGCAACGAAUCAUCGAGGAUGGUUUUCAGGUGUUGGGGAAAUGCUUUUCCCUUUUACCCCUGAUGGGCUAACAAAGCUCCUUUUCCUUCCAUCAGGAAUUUUAAGUUCUACUUCAGAGAGAUUAUGGGAUACUUGAACUAAACAGUGCCAAGCCUUUCCUUAUUACAUAUUUUUAUGGACCAGGACUAGAGAAGCACACGUCUUCCUUAAACAUUUUAGCUAUCACCAAAGGAAUUUCAAUCUGUUUCUGAACAAGUUUGAAUACGCUAAACAUAAGUGUAUCAAUCCAGGAUGGAAACUGAAUUUAAAACUAGAGGUCAAAAAAAAGUUACUAAAGUGUUGCCAGUAUUUUAACUCAAUGAUCCCAGGAACAGGCAGUCUGUGAUAUGAGAUAUAUGUUUGAAGGCUUUUCACGUCUCAUGUAGGCAAACAGCCUCCUUGUGCCUGGAAGUGGUCUAUAACAAAAAUUUUGUAUGAAUCUGCUGAUAAGUUGGUAAAUUUAUUCCAUUCAUUUCUUGUGGUAUGCAAACAUUUCCUCAGAUUUUAUUUUUUUUCUGUUUUCCUGGUAUUCUUCUAAUCUUGUAUAACUUAUGCUGGAGGCAGUGACUAAACUCACAAGUGGAAAGCAUGCUUCCCAAGAGGAGAUGGUAUGCAAAACAAAUAUAUAAUAUUUGGAGUACUACUGGGAGGGGUUACAGCGCAUCAUAAUGUGUAAUUUAUCAACUAGAAUGAAGCAGUACAGUCUGCUCUAAAUUUGUCAUCCGAAAUAUGUAUAUGUAAUAAUCUGAAAUUUUCAUUUUUAUAAAAUCAGAAUUCAUUUUAAGAAAUAAAAUUGAUAUCUAAAAUGUAAAGACCUCAGACCCUCUGUUAGAGUAGGGUCAAAUAAUAAGCUUUAGGAAAGUGGAUUUCUGCAUGUAUGUGUGAAAUAAGGAAGCAAGAAAAACAUUUGCAACACUAGCAAAGCAAUAUGGGAUUUCAAAUUAUAGUGAUACUCAGAAUACAACGCUGUUAUGUGUUUCAGUGAUUGCUUUGCAGGGAAUGUCUGCAUAAAUUUACUCAAUUUGUAAAUAAACAUUAGCUUUCUUGUCUUCUUUAGCAGCUUUUCA